UUGAUCCUGGCUCAGAAUCAACGCUGGCGGCGUGCCUAACACAUGCAAGUCGAACGCGAAAGUCCCGCAAGGGAUGAGUAGAGUGGCAAACGGGUGAGUUACACGUGGGUGACCUGCCUUCGAGCGGGGGAUAACGUCCCGAAAGGGACUCUAAUACCGCAUGACAUCCUGCCUUUGAACAGGCGGAGAUCAAAGCUGGUGAUCGCAAGACCUAGCACUCGAUGAGGGGCCCGCGCCUGAUUAGCUAGUUGGUGAGGUAACGGCUCACCAAGGCGACGAUCAGUAUCCGGCCUGAGAGGUCGGACGGACACACUGGGACUGAGACACGGCCCAGACUCCUACGGGAGGCUGCAGUGGGGAAUUGUUCGCAAUGGGCGCAAGCCUGACGACGCAACGCCGUGUGGAGGAUGAAGACCUUCGGGUCGUAAACUCCUUUCGAUCGAGACGAAUGGCCUUCGGGUGAACAAUCCGGAGGAGUGACGGUACCGAGAGAAGAAGCUCCGGCUAACUCCGUGCCAGCAGCCGCGGUAAUAAGGU
rnacentral:rRNA from 1 species